UCUGGUGCCAAUGGCAAAGAGGUCACACCUGUUCCCAUGCCGAACACAGAAGUUAAGCUCUUUAGCGCCGAUGGUAGUCGGACUUACGUU
rnacentral:rRNA from 1 species